rnacentral:rRNA from 1 species
GAGCGAACGCGGUGAACUGAACAUCUAAGUAACCGCAGGAAAAGAAAUCAACCGAGAUUCCCAAAGUAGUGGCGAGCGAAAUGGGAUGAGCCUUGCACUCUUUAUUUGUAUUGUUAGCCGAACGCUCUGGAAAGUGCGGCCAUAGCAGGUGAUAGCCCUGUAGGCGAAAACAGUAUGAAAGAACUAGGUGUGCGACAAGUAGGGCGGGACACGUGAAAUCCUGUCUGAAGAUGGGGGGACCAUCCUCCAAGGCUAAAUACUCGUGAUCGACCGAUAGUGAACCAGUACCGUGAGGGAAAGGCGAAAAGAACCCCGGGAGGGGAGUGAAAUAGAUCCUGAAACCGCAUGCAUACAAACAGUCGGAGCCUCGUAAGGGGUGACGGCGUACCUUUUGUAUAAUGGGUCAGCGACUUACGUUCAGUAGCAAGCUUAACCGUAUAGGGCAGGCGUAGCGAAAGCGAGUCCGAAUAGGGCGUUCAGUUGCUGGGCGUAGACCCGAAACCAAGUGAUCUAUCCAUGGCCAGGAUGAAGGUGCGGUAACACGUACUGGAGGUCCGAACCCACUAACGUUGAAAAGUUAGGGGAUGAGCUGUGGAUAGGGGUGAAAGGCUAAACAAACUUGGAAAUAGCUGGUUCUCUCCGAAAACUAUUUAGGUAGUGCCUCGUGUCUCACCUUCGGGGGUAGAGCACUGUCAUGGUUGGGGGGUCUAUUGCAGAUUACCCCGCCAUAGCAAACUCCGAAUACCGAAGAGUGCAAUCACGGGAGACAGACAUCGGGUGCUAACGUCCGGUGUCAAGAGGGAAACAACCCAGACCGCCAGCUAAAGGUCCCCAAAA